rnacentral:rRNA from 1 species
UACGGAGGGAGCUAGCGUUGUUCGGAAUUACUGGGCGUAAAGCGCACGUAGGCGGCUACUCAAGUCGGGGGUGAAAGCCCGGGGCUCAACCCCGGAACUGCCCUCGAAACUAGGUGGCUAGAAUCUUGGAGAGGUCAGUGGAAUUCCGAGUGUAGAGGUGAAAUUCGUAGAUAUUCGGAAGAACACCAGUGGCGAAGGCGACUGACGUGGACAAGUAUUGACGCUGAGGUGCGAAAGCGUGGGGAGCAAACAGG